GAGAACACAAACGCAAAGUCAAGCUACCAAGAAACAAAUUAAUGAAAGCACAAUAACAUAGAUGCACACGUAAGCUUGUGAGGUUUGACGCCUACGGGUGAGUGCUAAUCUAGGGGCUUAAGGCUCCCACUUCAUGAGUCAUGACCUCUUGUGUCAAGUCGUCUUCCUCCUUGCGACUUGCAGAUAGCAUCGGCUUGUUCAUCCUAUAUCCAUCCUCAGCUUUCUAGAUGCAACCCGGGGUUUUGAGUCUCCGGAUGUGUGCACAAAUGGGUCGUGGUAAGCAAGAAAACAUGCAUACACUACUUUUAAUUGCC
rnacentral:lncRNA from 1 species